rnacentral:rRNA from 1 species
UACGUAGGGUGCAAGCGUUGUCCGGAAUUAUUGGGCGUAAAGAGCUCGUAGGCGGUCUGUCGCGUCGGAUGUGAAAAUCCAGGGCUCAACCCUGGACCUGCAUUCGAUACGGGCAGACUAGAGUUCGGUAGGGGAGACUGGAAUUCCUGGUGUAGCGGUGAAAUGCGCAGAUAUCAGGAGGAACACCGGUGGCGAAGGCGGGUCUCUGGCCCGAUACUGACGCUGAGGUGCGAAAGCGUGGGGAGCAAACAGG